rnacentral:rRNA from 1 species
UGGGGAAUAUUGCACAAUGGGCGCAAGCCUGAUGCAGCCAUGCCGCGUGUGUGAAGAAGGCCUUCGGUUGUAAAGCACUUUCAGCGAGGAGGAAGGUGGUGAGCUUAAUACGCUCAUCAAUUGACGUUACUCGCAGAAGAAGCACCGGCUAACUCCGUGCCAGCAGCCGCGGUAAUACGGAGGGUGCAAGCGUUAAUCGGAAUUACUGGGCGUAAAGCGCACGCAGGCGGUUUGUUAAGUCAGAUGUGAAAUCCCCGGGCUCAACCUGGGAACUGCAUUUGAAACUGGCAAGCUAGAGUCUCGUAGAGGGGGGUAGAAUUCCAGGUGUAGCGGUGAAAUGCGUAGAGAUCUGGAGGAAUACCGGUGGCGAAGGCGGCCCCCUGGACGAAGACUGACGCUCAGGUGCGAAA